ACGGAGGUGUGCUAUAGGUAAGCUCAAGUUUAAAAACUUUUGAGAAUAAUAUCAUAUUGCUUGCUUGACUGUAAGAUUGACAAAUCAAACAGAGACGAAAGUCGGUUAUAGUGAUCCGAUGAUUCUUUGUGGAAAGAUCAUCGCUCAACGAAUAAAAGGUACGCCGGGGAUAACAGGCUAAUCACUUUUUAGAGACCCUAUCGAUGAAGUGGUUUGGCACCUCGAUGUUGGAUUAUCACAUCCUGGAACUGAAAAAGGUUCCAAGGGUUUGGUUGUUCGCCAAAUAAUGUGGUACAU
rnacentral:rRNA from 1 species